GGUUAAGCGACUAAGCGUACACGGUGGAUGCCCUGGCAGUCAGAGGCGAUGAAGGGCGUGCUAAUCUGCGAUAAGCGCCGGUAAGGUGAUAUGAACCGUUAUAACCGGCGAUACCCGAAUGGGGAAACCCAGUGUGACUCGUCACACUAUCAUUAACUGAAUCCAUAGGUUAAUGAGGCGAACCGGGGGAACUGAAACAUCUAAGUACCCCGAGGAAAAGAAAUCAACCGAGAUUCCCCCAGUAGCGGCGAGCGAACGGGGAGGAGCCCAGAGCCUGAAUCAGCAUGUGUGUUAGUGGAAGCGUCUGGAAAGGCGCGCGAUACAGGGUGACAGCCCCGUACACAAAAGCGCAUGUGCUGUGAGCUCGAUGAGUAGGGCGGGACACGUGGUAUCCUGUCUGAAUAUGGGGGGACCAUCCUCCAAGGCUAAAUACUCCUGACUGACCGAUAGUGAACCAGUACCGUGAGGGAAAGGCGAAAAGAACCCCGGCGAGGGGAGUGAAAAAGAACCUGAAACCGUGUACGUACAAGCAGUGGGAGCCCCACCACCAAAGCAUUCUCUGGUGUUGAAGGCCCUGCAAAGCAGCAUCGCGGUGGCGGAGCGUCGUUUGCGACGCCCAACACACAAAACAAGCGGUGAAUGCUUUGGGGUGGGGUGACUGCGUACCUUUUGUAUAAUGGGUCAGCGACUUAUAUUCUGUAGCAAGGUUAACCGAAUAGGGGAGCCGGAGGGAAACCGAGUCUUAAUUGGGCGUUAAGUUGCAGGGUAUAGACCCGAAACCCGGUGAUCUAGCCAUGGGCAGGUUGAAGGUUGGGUAACACUAACUGGAGGACCGAACCGACUAAUGUUGAAAAAUUAGCGGAUGACCUGUGGCUGGGGGUGAAAGGCCAAUCAAACCGGGAGAUAGCUGGUUCUCCCCGAAAGCUAUUUAGGUAGCGCCUCGUGAAUUCAUCUCCGGGGGUAGAGCACUGUUUCGGCUAGGGGGCCAUCCCGGCUUACCAACCCGAUGCAAACUGCGAAUACCGGAGAAUGUUAUCACGGGAGACACACGGCGGGUGCUAACGUCCGUCGUGAAGAGGGAAACAACCCAGACCGCCAGCUAAGGUCCCAAAGUCAUGGUUAAGUGGGAAACGAUGUGGGAAGGCCCAGACAGCCAGGAUGUUGGCUUAGAAGCAGCCAUCAUUUAAAGAAAGCGUAAUAGCUCACUGGUCGAGUCGGCCUGCGCGGAAGAUGUAACGGGGCUAAACCAU
rnacentral:rRNA from 1 species